rnacentral:sRNA from 1 species
AUUCAUCGAUAUUUUUCUUUGAGCACGUUACACAACACUAAGUAAACUGUAAUUUCUAACACAAAAAAGGUAAACAAACCAUUAAUCGAAAACAAUGACUUGGUAAUGUAAAGUUUUGGAUGUUGCAAUACCAAGGCGGAACCUCUAUUGCCGGCUACAGCCGGCUGACCUACUGUGAACACUUAAACACACACGCAGCAUUAUUCAGCCUUUAUCGUUGUGCAUAAACUUUGGUCGUACCUGAACUCGUACAAGGCCACCUAAUCUUGAUGAACUUCAUAAGGGAAUAAGGGACGCACAAAAUAGAGUGAACCCAAAUAGAGGGCGGGAAACCCAAAGUGCGUCUCGCUCUUUUUCGAUUUUCCUGUGCUUCUGGUUGUCUACCUCUCUCUAAUCCGCGCACAGUUCACAAACGUAUUCGGCUUUGCAAGCGGCAACUGUUGAACCACCAGGAUUGGAUGUCGUCGUAGAACUGUGUCUUGUGGCCAAAUGCGGGAGCAUGUAGCUUGGCGCAAAGGUCGCAAAACGGGGAGCUGUAGGCCAAGCGGUAGUGGCUGCGCCACCAGAAGUAGCUUACAUACAAAUCCGGAUCUGCAACCACGAGCUUCAUAUACUGGGCCAGCUCUUUCACGGACUUGAAGCGAUUAGCAUCGACGUAAGAGUGCGGAGGCAGGAUGCGGGAAUAGUCCGCUCCGCCGAAUACCACGGGUAUUACGGUCCGUUGCAGUGCGUCAAAAAGUUUCUCCGUCACGUAGUCGUCGCACAGCGAGUUUUCAAAAGCCAGGUAGAAAAAGUAAUCAGUGUCUAACAUCUCGUCGCAGUGCGGAUCCCCCCGGAUGCAGCUGAAAUUGAAUUAAUAUUUAGAAAGCUUGCUGCGUGGUCAUGAAGCAUAAACUAUCACGAACUUGAGGGUGGAUAUCAUAGCCUACAAAUAUGCAUAUGCCCUUUGUUUAAGAAAUCUGCGUGCGUUUUGCUUUUGUUGUUCACCUGAAAGAACCUCACCUGAGUGUUCCGCAAUUUCCGUAAAUGUCCACGUCAAAAAAUUCCUGAAGCCUAUUGGCCAAGACCUCCCUUUUCGACAACGUUUCGCAAUGAGAGACGAACCAGGCGGCCGUUUUCGUCUUCCCCGACCAGAGGUCCCAAACCAGGGAAUCGUUAAAGACCGCAGGAGGCUUCCUCCAAGGUGGUUUCAAACUGGGCGCUACCACGGCGUCCGCUGUGAUGUCCAGCAGCUGCCCGUAGGGCCAAAAUACAUCCGAGUCAAUGCGAUAAGUCAUGGUGAGGUUAUAGAAUCCCUGUUCGUCGUCCAGCCGAUGCUUAGUCUCCCCGGGCGGUUCCAUCAAUGCGAAUACGUAGGCCUGGUGGGGGCUUCUCUUGGAGGGCACCGGUCGGAGGAGCGGAAACAUCUCCGCCGCAUGGAAGACAAUGGCAUCAUAAAGUUCCACUGCGGGCAGGAAUGCGUGCUGGUUGCUGAUCUCGCACUGAUAGACAGGACAGUGGAGCUCAUCCCGCAGCUCCUGCGGUCCCAAAGUGUCCCAGGAAAGCUUCCAUCGCGAAUCACCAAAAAAUUUGGUCCAGAGGAGAAUAGUACGGGUGGAUCUGACAUACCGCUCAUUCUGGCCCCUUAAGUGAUCUUGCAGGAUUUCGUUCUGAUUAAGGAGAGGUGACUGAGUAACCUUGUGAAGAACCACCAAGGCGCCGAGAAAGACAAGGAGGAGCAGCAGGAGGACGCCGCGCGGCCCACAGACCAACCGUGCCGAUCGAACAGCCAUCGACAUGUGCCUAACUCGGCCAGAUAACAACCGCCAGGUACUUCGAAGAUACAGUGAACCCUCCCUAAAUACAUAAAAAAGAUGGCUGUUUGUUUUGUACUGCACAACAACACAGGAUCUCAUUUGAAGUGUAUUAGUUAUUUGAAGGAUUGCUUACAUACUUAUGAAACCAAAUUACGAGUAUACAACAAUUGUUAGAGACACACAAAAUUAACAUUCCUUACGGCUUAAGUACGCUAAAUAAAUACCACUUAAAGCACCUUA